GGCUGGAGAGAUGGCUCAGUGGUUAAGAGCACUGACUGCUCUUCCAGAGGUCCUGAGUUCAAAUCCCAGCAACCA
rnacentral:tRNA from 1 species